rnacentral:snRNA from 1 species
GUGCUUGCUUCAGCAGCACAUAUNCUAAAAUUGGAACAAUGCAGCGAAGAUUAACAUGGCCUCUGCACAAGGAUGAUCCACAAAUUCAUGAAGCAUUCCAUGUUAAA